CUUGUAUUGCAAAGCAGUUAGCUGCUAGAGUUGCUGUUUCCAAUCUGCAUAAGAACACUAUGAAAUCAUUUUCGGAGACGAUCAAAGUCAUGUACUACUUUUGUGAUAAGAAAUCUGGGCAGAAGGCUUCUCUUGUUGCUGAUGAUGUUUAUGAGAUUAUCAUGAAGAAUGCUGCUCGAUUG